CUUGUCUAGCAAAAUUUUGAGUCUCUCAGGGAGCUUUGCUGUUGCAGGAUGUGACUUUGAGGGAUGCUUUAGAGGCAAUGCUGAUGUGGGCAACCUUGCUGCAGCCUGGGGAUGCAAUCUGCAUCAGGCCUGUUUUUAAAGCUCGUGUGGCCAUGUAUUGCAUGUUGGCCUGGGCACCACUCCUGCUCGCCAUCUGGAAAACUGUCCUGUCAGGGCACUUGGAAUCACUCUGUCCCUGGCUGAAACAGUGCUGGCAGUGCAGGCUGCAAUCUCCUACAGGUCUUCCCCCAGCACAAGGAACAUGAUGGGCUGUGCCAUGGCUUCUGUCCUGGUUCCUGGAAAUCUGGCUGACUGUGGGUUUUAUAAGAAUAUCCUCCUUGGAGUCUUCAGUAUUUGCGCAUCUCUAGGACGGAUGCAACAUUCUCAAAAUGGGAGAAAAUGAACAGUGUUACAGAAACAGUAUUUUCUGUGUUUAGGAGUGAGAUGGCAGCUGCAUGGAUUUUUAAAUCUGGAGGCCCAUCAGUUUCCGCUGGGAGAUGUGAACAGCUCAGGAUCCAGAGUGAACUCAGCACCAGUUAAGGGAUAGAGUUAAAUAUCCUCCUUUAGCAGUGGGAUUUGAGACACGGCCCUACAGCAUCAGUCCCUGUUUCUGGUCAUCCAGUCUGUGCCAUAACCGCUGGAAACAUUGCUGCUCAGCUCUGGCUAAGUUAAUUCAAUUGGUUACAGUCAGCAUAUUUCUUAAAAGUAGCAAAAGGUUAAACCAGAAAGUGCUGGGAGAUCAUCAAAGCUGGUUCUAGAGGAAAGAGAGAAGUCUAAAUGCA
rnacentral:lncRNA from 1 species